UGGGGGAUAUUGGACAAUGGGGGGAACCCUGAUCCAGCGACGCCGCGUGAGUGAAGAAGUAUUUCGGUAUGUAAAGCUCUGUCAGCAGGGAAGAAAGAAAUGACGGUACCUGACCAAGAAGCCCCGGCUAACUACGUGCCAGCAGCCGCGGUAAUACGUAGGGGGCAAGCGUUAUCCGGAAUUACUGGGUGUAAAGGGAGCGUAGACGGUUAAGUAAGUCUGGAGUGAAAGGCCGGGGCCCAACCCCGGGACUGCUCUGGAAACUAUUCAACUUGAGUGCAGGAGAGGUAAGCGGAAUUCCUA
rnacentral:rRNA from 1 species